rnacentral:misc_RNA from 1 species
AGGGACCUGGGGAGUGGGAGCAGC